rnacentral:rRNA from 1 species
AGCGAACGCUGGCGGCAGGCUUAACACAUGCAAGUCGAACGCCCCGCAAGGGGAGUGGCAGACGGGUGAGUAACACGUGGGAACGUACCCUUUGGUUCGGAAUAACUUGGGGAAACUCAAGCUAAUACCGGAUAAGCCCUUAUGGGGAAAGGUUUACUGCCGAAGGAUCGGCCCGCGUCUGAUUAGCUAGUUGGUGAGGUAAUGGCUCACCAAGGCGACGAUCAGUAGCUGGUCUGAGAGGAUGAUCAGCCACACUGGGACUGAGACACGGCCCAGACUCCUACGGGAGGCAGUAGUGGGGAAUAUUGGACAAUGGGGGCAACCCUGAUCCAGCCAUGCCGCGUGAGUGAUGAAGGCCUUAGGGUUGUAAAGCUCUUUUACCCGGGACGAUAAUGACUGUACCGGGAGAAUAAGCCCCGGCUAACUUCGUGCCAGCCGCGGCGGUAA